rnacentral:lncRNA from 1 species
GGCCUGGAAAGGAGAUCCUCCACCCAGGGACCACCGACCACCCACUGGGAGGUAAGCCGGCCGACGUCUGUCUGUCUGUCUAAUUUUGUCUCGUUCUACCUUAUUCUGUCUGUUCUGUGAGCGCUCAGCCAGGUUGUUUGGAAUUUGGGCGGGACGAAGAAGGAGCUGACGAGCUCGGACUUCUCGCCCCGCAGCCCUGGAAGACGUUCCAAGGGUGCUAGGGGCCCGACUUUUCGGGCCCCAAUCUGGGAGAGGAGAAAGAUCCGGACUAACGGCACCUCUGUCUGUAUUUUUGGCUUUCAGAGGGCCCCGGACCUUUGCCACCUCUAUCUGAGAAAGAUCCGGACUAACGGCACUCUGUCUGUAUUUUUGGCUUUCAGAGGGCCCCGGACUUUUGCCACCUCUAUCUGACUUUUUGCUUUCAG